rnacentral:rRNA from 1 species
UCAGACGAUGCGUCAUGCAUAUCAAUAAGCGGAGGAAAAGAAACUAACAAGGAUUCCCCUAGUAACGGCGAGUGAAGCGGGAAGAGCUCAAAUUUGAAAUCUUAAAGGGUUUCCCUUUACGAAUUGUAGUUUAAAGAAGUGUUUUCUGUUGAGGUUUUGGUAAAAGUUCUUUGGAAUAGGACAUCAUAGAGGGUGAGAAUCCCGUAUUUGACCUUUACUUUCAACUUUGUGAUACACUUUCAAAGAGUCGGAUUGUUCGGGAAUGCAGUCCAAAAUGGGUGGUAAAUUUCAUCUAAAGCUAAAUAUUGGCGAGAGAGCCGAUAGCGAACAAGUACCGUGAGGGAAAGAUGAAAAGAACUUUGAAAAGAGAGUUAAACAGUACGUGAAAUUGUCAAAAGGGAAGCGUUUGACACCAGUGUUGUUUUUCUGAAAAUCAAUUAAAGAACUGUUUAUGCUAAGUUGUUUAGACUUUAUCAGCUAUCUGUUUAGUUUUGAGCUUUUCUUUAAUGCACUUUUCAGUUAACAAGUCAACAUCAAUUUCUUUUGCUGUAAAAAAGCUUGAGGAAGGUGGCUUGAGAUUCGUCUUAAGUGUUUAUAGCCUCUUGCCUAUGCAGUCGGAGAGAUUGAGGUCUGCAGCGUAGAUCCUUCGGGGCUAAAUGCAUUUGUGCUAAGUUAUAGCAUUUUAUAGACAACUUGUUGACUAUGAUUUGUCUUGUAGCUUACUCGCUUAUGUUAUUUUACCUACGCUUAGGAUGUUGACACACGCGCGUGCUCG